rnacentral:rRNA from 1 species
GACAGAGGGUGCAAACGUUGUUCGGAAUUACUGGGCGUAAAGCGCGUGUAGGCGGCGGUGCACGUCGGAUGUGAAAGCCCUGGGCUCAACCCAGGAAGUGCAUUCGAUACUGCAUCGCUGGAGUCCCGGAGAGGAUGGUGGAACUCUCGGUGUAGAGGUGAAAUUCGUAGAUAUCGAGAAGAACACCGGUGGCGAAGGCGGCCAUCUGGACGGUGACUGACGCUGAGACGCGAAAGCGUGGGGAGCAAACAGG